rnacentral:rRNA from 1 species
ACAAGCGGAGGAACAUGUGGUUAAUUCGAUGAUACGCGAGGAACCUUACCUGGCUUAAAUGUAGAGUGCAUUUUUAGUAGAUAGAAAUUCCCUUCGGGGCUUUCUGCAAGGUGCUGCAUGGUUGUCGUCAGCUCGUGCCGUGAGGUGUCGGGUUAGGUCCCAUAACGAGCGCAACCCUUAUCGUUAGUUGCCAUCUGGUAAUGCAGGGGACUCUAGCGAAACUGCCACCGUAAGGUGAGAGGAAGUGGGGAUGACGUCAAAUCAGCACGGCCCUUAUGUCCAGGGCUACACACGUGUUACAAUGGUCGGUACAGAGGGCAGCUACUUGGUGACAGGAUGCUAAUCUCGAAAACCGGUCUCAGUUCGGAUCGAAGUCUGCAACUCGACUUCGUGAAGCUGGAUUCGCUAGUAAUCGCGCAUCAGCUAUGGCGCGGUGAAUACGUUCCCGGGCCUU